rnacentral:rRNA from 1 species
UGGGGAAUAUUGGACAAUGGGCGAAAGCCUGAUCCAGCCAUGCCGCGUGUGUGAAGAAGGUCUUCGGAUUGUAAAGCACUUUAAGUUGGGAGGAAGGGCAGUAAGCGAAUACCUUGCUGUUUUGACGUUACCGACAGAAUAAGCACCGGCUAACUCUGUGCCAGCAGCCGCGGUAAUACAGAGGGUGCAAGCGUUAAUCGGAAUUACUGGGCGUAAAGCGCGCGUAGGUGGUUCGUUAAGUUGAAUGUGAAAGCCCCGGGCUCAACCUGGGAACUGCAUCCAAAACUGGCGGGCUAGAGUAGGGCAGAGGGUGGUGGAAUUUCCUGUGUAGCGGUGAAAUGCGUAGAUAUAGGAAGGAACACCAAUGGCGAAGGCGACCACCUGGGCUCAUACUGACACUGAGGUGCGAAAGCGUGGGGAGCAAACAGG